rnacentral:rRNA from 1 species
UAAUACGUAGGUGGCAAGCGUUAUCCGGAAUUAUUGGGCGUAAAGCGCGCGCAGGUGGUUUCUUAAGUCUGAUGUGAAAGCCCACGGCUCAACCGUGGAGGGUCAUUGGAAACUGGGAGACUUGAGUGCAGAAGAGGAAAGUGGAAUUCCAUGUGUAGCGGUGAAAUGCGUAGAGAUAUGGAGGAACACCAGUGGCGAAGGCGACUUUCUGGUCUGUAACUGACACUGAGGCGCGAAAGCGUGGGGAGCAAACAGGAUUAGAUACCCUGGUAGUCCACGCCGUAAACGAUGAGUGCUAAGUGUUAGAGGGUUUCCGCCCUUUAGUGCUGAAGUUAACGCAUUAAGCACUCCGCCUGGGGAGUACGGCCGCAAGGCUG